GGCUUUAUAGCUCAGUGGGAGAGCGUUUUCAUCGGAAUCGCAAAGGUCAUGGGUUCGAAUCCCGUUUUAGCCU